CCUACGGGUGGCAGCAGUCGGGAAUAUUGCGCAAUGGAGGAAACUCUGACGCAGUGACGCCGCGUGCAGGAAGAAGGUUUUCGGAUUGUAAACUGCUUUCGACAGGGAAGAAAAAAGACAGUACCUGUCGAAUAAGCUCCGGCUAACUACGUGCCAGCAGCCGCGGUAAUACGUAUGGUGCAAGCGUUAUCCGGAUUUACUGGGUGGAAAGGGAGCGCAGGCGGCGCGUUAAGCCUGGUGUGAAAGCCCGCGGCCCAACCGCGGGACUGCAUUGGGAACUGGCGCGCUGGAGUGCCGGAGGGGUAGGUGGAAUUCCUAGUGUAGCGGUGAAAUGCGUAGAUAUUAGGAGGAACACCAGUGGCGAAGGCGGCCUACUGGACGGUGACUGACGCUGAGGCUCGAAAGCGUGGGGAGCAAACAGGAUUAGAUACCCGGGUAGUC
rnacentral:rRNA from 1 species